rnacentral:lncRNA from 1 species
AAAAUACUAACCUUGAUCUAAGAGCGUCUAUCUCUGCAUAAGUGGAGAAAAUGAUUCAUUUUUAGAGGUUUCUGGGCUUGGGGAAGAAGAAUGGUCGUCAGACAGGAGCAGAAGACGUGAAAGAUUGGUCUGGCCUCGCUUUACUCCAGGCGCCUUGUGGGAUGCUGACCUGUCCCGGGGUGCAGCUGCGCGCACCCCUCCUUGAGCUGUAAGCCUCUGGGCGGUGGAAAAGCAAUCGCCUGCGUCGUGACAGUUCCUACCUACUAAAUUGAAAAUUUGAAAAUCAGAGGCGGCAGGCCCACCCAAGGUGUCUACCAACAUCCGUGGACCACAGGGCUUUUUGCAAGCCCAUGGGAAAGACAGCCUGAGAGACUUCGGAGUGCGUCCUGUCCCAGGCUGUGCCUCUCCUGCUUAAGGGAAGCCUUGAGUGUAUCUCCCUAAAAACAGAUGGGGGCAGGGAAGGGGUCUAGAUCCCGUGGAGCCAGGCCUUGAUUGGAGGUCCGGGCUGGAGAGAGGGAACAUCAACCCGCCCUGACCCCCACAGCUUCCACUCACCCGAAGAGCUGCCUAAUUGGGCUGCGAGCAGCUGCGAAAUUUGUAAUCGUCUAAUGAGCCUUCCGCCUCGGUAAUUCUUAUCAAAAGGCAUAAAACUGAUAUUUUCACACUCAGCUCGCACUGCAGGCGCCGUUUAUAAACAUCCUUCAUCAGUGGGAUGAAAUUAAGCCUGCAUUGACAGAGGUCUCUGGAACUCGAUAUUUAAAAGCAAUAGAUCCGAAUUAGCAAAUUAUAACUUUAAGUAGGGAAAGUCCCCACCAACUUGACUAUUGAACCCUUUGCCUCUGAGCUCCUCGGGGUGAGUAACCACACGUUUGAGAGAACUUAACCUGGAGGUUCUGCGGUGCUCAGGCAAUCUCCGGAAACUCGGAUUCCCGAAACUGCCCCUGCUACGGCUCCUCCCGCCCGCCUUCUAGGGACUCGCCUGGGUCAGACCUGUGGAGAUCGGGGCGAGGCACAGCUGGAGCCUGAGAGAAAACGUGGUCAAAGGAGGCGCAUCCAGGACUCCCGGGCGGCCUGCAGGCGCAGAAACAGAGCCCUGCUCUUGCGGACCCGAGCUUUCCCUGGCCCGCGGCCCUCACCGCCCACCUCCAGGGCUCCAGCGCCAAGGGUACAGUGGGCCAUAGGACUGUAGGAGGCGGUGGAGGAUGGGGAGACUUUCGCGAUCAUAAGAAGGUGCGGAUUCUGGCAGAAUUCUGGUUGGCGACUCCUUCGAUCCCUGAAGGUGAAAUCUCAGCUAAAACCACUCUGAAACUGUGGAUGUCACACUUGGUUCAGGGUUAGGAGACCGUGUCUUUGGAUUUUUGCCCAUCACGUGUAACCAUUAUAAAUAUUAGUCUGGAAAAAGACUUUAGGAGAUUGCUUCUAGAGGUUCUUUCCACAAACUUACCCUGCUCAGAAUCUGCAUAACCCCUCAGAGAUGGCAGAGCUGUAUACGGGCUCACCUUGGGACUUACCGGUCCCAGACUCCGUUUUAUACCUUGCUACCCACAGUUUCUGAGGGUAAGAGAGGGGUGCUUUUAUUCACGCCAGUGGAGGUCGCCAAAAGCGGGCGAGGGCCUCCGUCUGGGACCCACUGGUCUCUCUCCCACUGUGGGCCAAGACUGAGGUUUGAUGGGCUUCCCAGCUGGGCAAGCCUGCUCCACGCGGGACACCCGGGAAUCCACUGGCGGGCAGACCCUGCCUUCGCCACCCGCCCCGCGGCAUUCCUCACUGCGGUCUGAUGCGCCAGCUGGGGCCAGUUGUUUCAAGCGGUUCUGGAGGACCAAUAGCGGAAAGCCAAGUUCUGCGACCAAGAGUCUGUACGAGUGACUCGGUGUUUCUUUCCAGCCGGUUCGCAGAGCGCCAGUAAGCUCUCCCGGUCCGCUACGGAAGAAAUAGGGGAAGCGUUUCCAGUCUAAGAGAGAGGAUGGGAGAGAGAAAAUUAGGAACCACGCCGAAAUUAAGCAGGGCAGCCUGGAAAGCUUCCCGGCUAAAAGCUAUGGCGCGAAACGCUAAAGUCCAUCACACCAUUUAUUCAUUGUGACAUUUCCAAGCCGACAAUAGCGCCUUAAGCACGCCUGUGGUUUGGAGGUGCCGGUUUUAUAUGCAUUUUACUGUUUAGAAUGAUAAACAAAUCAGGACCAAUGGAAACCUGAUUCUAACCUCUUUCUACAGAACUCUGCCUGCAUAAUUCUGUAAAAGCCGAAAUCCAAGGUGGCCAGAGAGAGAGAGAGAGAAUCCAACUCUCUACCCGCCUCCCUUUACCGCGUUUCCCUACAAGUCCUAGGCAAACCGGGCAGAUAUAGCCUGGAGUUCGCUGAUCAAGAAAGAGGAUGGAACCGAGGCCCUUCAGGCUUCUCCUCCCCUUCCACAUCCCCGUUUUCCCACUUCCCCAGGGAUGUCUGAAAGCCCAACUCGGCCAGUGUGGCAGGAAAGUUAAACUUUAUCUAAGUGCAAAAACCAGAUGGUUUUCUCGGUUUCUGGGGAUAGGUGAGAGGCAGAAGUGGGGCUGUGUGAGCCUCCUAUUCACAGGCUUGGAUGACAUUUUGAUAAGGGAACCCUCAGCUCAAGUUGUUAGCCAGGGUGAAUGAGCCCCACACAAGCCUGCGCCGACCGCCCACAACUUUGGUGUCUAAGGUUCUCCCCAGCAACACUUCCACCUCCGGUGUAACUCGUAAAGCUAUGCUUUUACAAAAAAAAAGUUGGCCCAAGAAUCUUGAGCCAUGAAUUUUAAAAACUUAAAUAACUUCUAUAUGCCAUUUCUGCUACAGGAGACUGGUUCUUGUAACUGUGGCAAGGUUUUCUUCCUUUCCUUCCUAUCCUCCUCCUCUCCCUUCCUCCUUCCCUGCUUGCCUUCCUUCCUUCAUGGGAGUUCAGGGUUUAAGAGGUAGGCAACGUGUUAUUAUAGUAAGAGCACAGGUUUGAAGUUAGUAAAAUAUGUAAUGGAAUUUUGAGCAAUUUAAAUUUUUAACACUUGAGCUUUCUCAUUUGUAAAAUGAAGAUGGCAUCACUUGGAAAUUGUCAUAAAAAAUCACAAUGUUGAAUUAAGUGCUCAUCCACACAGGAGGUUCUUAGUGAACAUAAUGUUUCUCCUACCACAUCCUCCUUCACCUCUCUAGAGAGGUCUGGAUGUAGAGGAGCCACCAAAGGCCCAAUUUCCCCAGUGAAGGGUAGGUCAAUGUUCUUCAGCGAGUUGACCACUUCUAGGGGUUCAGAGGGUCAUGAGGUUAGACGCACCUCCCUGGGCUGCAGAGGCUCCAGAGAUGAGUGCAGCUGCCUGUAGCCACCUCUGUCGUGGCAACUAGGCCCAAGGAUGCACAAUGAACACCUUUUUCAUCUCCUUUGUCGCUGGUUUAUUUGAGAGUUAAUCUAUAACAUUUAAAAAUGCUUGGCACCCUUCUGUCAGUUUGCACAACCUUCUGAAUAUUGUGAAAAUGGCAGUAAUCAUAGCUGUUGAUUAUUAUUUGUCAAAUGCCCCCACUGACGUUAUGGCACACAACCCUACUUUAAUUUAUCCAAAGCCCUAUUUUACCAAGCCAGGGCAGAAUUCAAACCCAGACGUCCGACGCGAAUGCCUGACUUUUAACUACUUUGCGGUGUUUGUCCUCUUUAGGGUGAGUUCAGAAAUGGACACUUUCAGUAAAUGGAUUCAUGAUAGUUCUUUACCACUCCAGCACAAGUGGUCCAGCCGCUAGCCUCUUGCCUCUGCCCACUUCCGCUGAGCAGCUGGGGGGUGCCUGGUGUGCUGUGGGGAAGAGCGCCACCUUCCCACGCCUACUCUUGCUGAGGUUAAACAGCAUUUCAGUGCCGAAUAAAACGGCCACGAAGGGGAAAAAGGAGAACGCUUAAAUCGGCGGUAAAAUCGUUCUCUCUCCUUUUCCUUGCAGAUUGCAUAAUUUGAUGUCUAAUCAUCAGCAAGUGGAACAAAACCUGGAUUGAAUAGACGGUGACUCGAUCUCCGUACAGACUGAGGUCCAAAGGUCUGCGCUCACUUCUGGAACUUUCCUUUUGGGCCUUGACCGAACUCCUGUUAUUGUGUGCAGUAGCAGAGGCUGCGCUGCGUGGUUCAGUUUGUGCAAAGGCUAUUUAUUGUUUCUCAUUUACUGACCACUCGGGAGAAGCCUUUAGCAAUAGUUUUUCCCGACACAAACUUGAAUAAAGUCGACCCCUGCAGUUCUUCCUGAGGCUCUACAAGCUUCCUGGAUGCAGGAACCAUGUGCUGUUCUGACGACGCUCCGAAACCUAGUUCAGUGCCUGGCACUAGACAAUAAAAAAUUGCUUUCUGAAUGAAAGUA